UACGUAGGGGGCAAGCGUUGUCCGGAUUUAUUGGGCGUAAAGAGCGUGUAGGCGGCCUGACAGGUCUGCUGUGAAAACUCGAGGCUCAACCUCGAGAUGUCGGCGGAAACCGUCUGGCUAGAGUCCGGAAGAGGAGAGUGGAAUUCCUGGUGUAGCGGUGAAAUGCGCAGAUAUCAGGAAGAACACCCGUGGCGGAGGCGGCUCUCUGGGACGGUACUGACGCUGAGACGCGAAAGCGUGGGGAGCGAACAGG
rnacentral:rRNA from 1 species